GAUGAACGCUGGCGGCGUGCCUAAUACAUGCAAGUCGAGCGAACGGACGAGAAGCUUGCUUCUCUGAUGUUAGCGGCGGACGGGUGAGUAACACGUGGAUAACCUACCUAUAAGACUGGGAUAACUUCGGGAAACCGGAGCUAAUACCGGAUAAUAUUUUGAACCGCAUGGUUCAAAAGUGAAAGACGGUCUUGCUGUCACUUAUAGAUGGAUCCGCGCUGCAUUAGCUAGUUGGUAAGGUAACGGCUUACCAAGGCAACGAUGCGUAGCCGACCUGAGAGGGUGAUCGGCCACACUGGAACUGAGACACGGUCCAGACUCCUACGGGAGGCAGCAGUAGGGAAUCUUCCGCAAUGGGCGAAAGCCUGACGGAGCAACGCCGCGUGAGUGAUGAAGGUCUUCGGAUCGUAAAACUCUGUUAUUAGGGAAGAACAUAUGUGUAAGUAACUGUGCACAUCUUGACGGUACCUAAUCAGAAAGCCACGGCUAACUACGUGCCAGCAGCCGCGGUAAUACGUAGGUGGCAAGCGUUAUCCGGAAUUAUUGGGCGCAAAGCGCGCGUAGGCGGUUUUUUAAGUCUGAUGUGAAAGCCCACGGCUCAACCGUGGAGGGUCAUUGGAAACUGGAAAACUUGAGUGCAGAAGAGGAAAGUGGAAUUCCAUGUGUAGCGGUGAAAUGCGCAGAGAUAUGGAGGAACACCAGUGGCGAAGGCGACUUUCUGGUCUGUAACUGACGCUGAUGUGCGAAAGCGUGGGGAUCAAACAGGAUUAGAUACCCUGGUAGUCCACGCCGUAAACGAUGAGUGCUAAGUGUUAGGGGGUUUCCGCCCCUUAGUGCUGCAGCUAACGCAUUAAGCACUCCGCCUGGGGAGUACGACCGCAAGGUUGAAACUCAAAGGAAUUGACGGGGACCCGCACAAGCGGUGGAGCAUGUGGUUUAAUUCGAAGCAACGCGAAGAACCUUACCAAAUCUUGACAUCCUUUGACAACUCUAGAGAUAGAGCCUUCCCCUUCGGGGGACAAAGUGACAGGUGGUGCAUGGUUGUCGUCAGCUCGUGUCGUGAGAUGUUGGGUUAAAUCCCGCAACGAGCGCAACCCUUAAGCUUAGUUGCCAUCAUUAAGUUGGGCACUCUAAGUUGACUGCCGGUGACAAACCGGAGGAAGGUGGGGAUGGCGUCAAAUCAUCAUGCCCCUUAUGAUUUGGGCUACACACGUGCUACAAUGGACAAUACAAAGGGCAGCGAAACCGCGAGGUCAAGCAAAUCCCAUAAAGUUGUUCUCAGUUCGGAUUCUAGUCUGCAACUCGACUACAUGAAGCUGGAAUCGCUAGUAAUCGUAGAUCAGCAUGCUACGGUGAAUACGUUCCCGGGUCU
rnacentral:rRNA from 1 species